AAUGUACGAAAGUGCGACGGGGGGAUCCCAAGUGUUAUGCUUUUUUGUAUGACUUUUCAUUAGUGUAAAAAGCUUUUAGAAUAAGAGCUGGGCAAGACCGGUGCCAGCCGCCGCGGUAACACCGGCAGCUCGAGUGGUAGCUGUUUUUAUUGGGCCUAAAGCGUUCGUAGCCGGUUUGAUAAGUCUUUGGUGAAAGCUUGUAGCUUAACUAUAAGAAUUGCUGGAGAUACUAUUAGACUUGAAGUCGGGAGAGGUUAGAGGUACUACCGGGGUAGGGGUGAAAUCCUAUAAUCCUGGGAGGACCACCUGUGGCGAAGGCGUCUAACUGGAACGAUCUUGACGGUGAGUAACGAAAGCCAGGGGCGCGAACCGGAUUAGAUACCCGGGUAGUCCUGGCCGUAAACGAUGUGGACUUGGUGUUGGAAUGGCUUUGAGUUGUUCCGGUGCCGAAGGGAAGCUGUUAAGUCCACCGCCUGGGAAGUACGGUCGCAAGACUGAAACUUAA
rnacentral:rRNA from 1 species